GAUGAAGAACGCAGCGAAAUGCGAUAAGUAAUGUGAAUUGCAGAAUUCAGUGAAUCAUCGAAUCUUUGAACGCACAUUGCGCCCCUUGGUAUUCCGAGGGGCAUGCCUGUUCGAGCGUCAUUAUAACCCCUCAAGCUCAGCUUGGUGUUGGGGCCUGCUGCACUGGCAGCCCUUAAAAUCAGUGGCGGCGCCAUCUGGCUCUAAGCGUAGUAAUUCUUCUCGCUAUGGAGUCCUGGUGGAUGCUUGCCAUCAACCCCCAAUUUUUCUAUGGUUGACCUCGGAUCAGGUAGGUAUACCCGCUGAACUUAAGCAUAUCAAUAAGCGGAGGA
rnacentral:misc_RNA from 1 species